rnacentral:rRNA from 1 species
GUAGAAGGCCUAAAUACACUGAAUGCACCAGAUUGUUUGAUCUUGGAAGCUAAGCAGGGUUAGCUCUGGUUAGUACUUGGAUAGGAAACCACCGAUGUAUACUAGGGGCUGUAGGUU